rnacentral:rRNA from 1 species
UACGUAGGGUGCGAGCGUUAAUCGGAAUUACUGGGCGUAAAGCGUGCGCAGGCGGUCUGUUAAGACAGAUGUGAAAUCCCCGGGCUCAACCUGGGAACUGCAUUUGUGACUGCAUAGCUAGAGUACGGUAGAGGGGGAUGGAAUUCCGCGUGUAGCAGUGAAAUGCGUAGAUAUGCGGAGGAACACCGAUGGCGAAGGCAAUCCCCUGGACCUGUACUGACGCUCAUGCACGAAAGCGUGGGGAGCAAACAGG